rnacentral:rRNA from 1 species
UACAGAGGUCUCAAGCGUUGUUCGGAUUCAUUGGGCGUAAAGGGUGCGUAGGCGGCGCGGUAAGUCGGGUGUGAAAUCUUGGAGCUUAACUCCGAAACUGCAUUCGAUACUGCCGUGCUUGAGGACUGGAGAGGAGACUGGAAUUUACGGUGUAGCGGUGAAAUGCGUAGAUAAUCGGAAGGAACACCGGUGGCGAAAGCGGCGCGCUGGACCUUUACUGACGCUGAGGCACGAAAGCGUGGGGAGCGAACAGG